GAUGAACGCUGGCGGCGUGCCUAAUACAUGCCAGUCGAGUGAACAGACGAGGAGCUUGCUCCUCUGACGUUAGCGGCGGACGGGUGAGUAACACGUGGAUAACCUACCUAUAAGACUGGGAUAACUUCGGGAAACCGGAGCUAAUACCGGAUAAUAUAUUGAACCGCAUGGUUCAAUAGUGAAAGACGGUUUUGCUGUCACUUAUAGAUGGAUCCGCGCCGCAUUAGCUAGUUGGUAAGGUAACGGCUUACCAAGGCAACGAUGCGUAGCCGACCUGAGAGGGUGAUCGGCCACACUGGAACUGAGACACGGUCCAGACUCCUACGGGAGGCAGCAGUAGGGAAUCUUCCGCAAUGGGCGAAAGCUUGACGGAGCAACGCCGCGUGAGUGAUGAAGGUCUUCGGAUCGUAAAACUCUGUUAUUAGGGAAGAACAAAUGUGUAAGUAACUAUGCACGUCUUGACGGUACCUAAUCAGAAAGCCACGGCUAACUACGUG
rnacentral:rRNA from 1 species